GUUGUUGCAGUUAAAAAGCUCGUAGUUGGAUCUCAGGCUUGUGGCCGGUGGUCCGCUCGAUACGGGUGUGCACUGCCGUGCUCGGCCUACAUCUGGUUCAAACUUUUAUAGUGACCUUAACCGGUUGCUAUAAAAUGCCAGAAGGUUUACUCUGAAAAAAUUAGAGUGCUUAAAGCAGGCCGUUUGUGCUUGUAUACUGUUGCAUGGAAUAAUGGAAUAGGACCUCGGAUCUAUUUUGUUGGUUUUCGGAGUCGAGGUAAUGAUUAAGAGGGACAGACGGGGGCAUUCGUAUUGCGCCGUUAGAGGUGAAAUUCUUGGAUCGGCGCAAGACGAACAACUGCGAAAGCAUUUGCCAAGGAUGUUUUCAUUAAUCAAGAACGAAAGUCAGAGGUUCGAAGACGAUCAGAUACCGUCGUAGUUCUGACCAUAAACGAUGCCAACUGGCGAUCCGACGUAGUCUGGCUUAAAGGACUCGUCGGGCAGCCUCCGGGAAACCUAAGUCUAUGGGUUCCGGGGGAAGUAUGGUUGCAAAGCUGAAACUUAAAGGAAUUGACGGAAGGGCACCACCAGGAGUGGAGCCUGCGGCUUAAUUUGACUCAACACGGGAAAACUCACCCGGCCAGGACACCGU
rnacentral:rRNA from 1 species